rnacentral:lncRNA from 1 species
CCUGAGUCCAGGAGGAAGAGAUGAAGCAGGACAGCUGCAGUGGAGGAUGAGGACAGGGGGACGCAGAAGCACCUUCCUGCUGAAGUGUACCAAACGAGAGUUUUCAUGGGCGAUGAGGCGGAUGAACGUAUGAGAUUGCAGUAGAAGCUCCAGUAUGCGGCGAUUUCUGGCUUAUUGACCUAUGACACUUUUUUUCUGGAUUCUUAUCUCAUUUAACUUUGCUAUUUGUAUUAGUUUCCAAAUGCUACUAUAGCAAAUUUCCACAAGCUUAGUGGCUUAAAACAACCCAACUGUGUUAUCCUACAGUCUGAAGGUCAGAAGUCCAAGUUAGGUCUCACUGGACUAAAAUCAGGGUGUAGACAGGGCUGUGUUCCCUCCCGCCUUGGCCAGCUUCUAGAGAUGCUCUCACUCCUUGGUUCAAGGCCCCUCUCGUCUUCCAAAGAGAGCCAUGUCCGGUCUUAACUCGCAUUAACUCCAACUAUCUUGACUCUUUUGUCCACUUAUCAGGACCCUGUGACUACACUGGGCCCACCUGGAUAGUCUAGACUCAUCUUCCCAUCUCAGAUCUUUAACUUAAUCUCAUCUGCGAAAUCCCUUUUGUCAUGUAAGCUAAUGCUCACAGGUCCGGGGAUCAGGAUGUGGACAUUUUAGGGGUGUCAUUAUCCUGCCUGCCACGCUGUGGUUAUUCACCUUUCUAUGUGUUCAUGCUUUGGCACCCCCAGCAGAUGGGAAGCUCCUCUGGGGAGUGGGGUACUGCUUCUUUGUCAUUCUGUUCCCCAUAGCAAUUGCCCAAUUCAGAUACUCAGAAGGUAUUUUUCAAUUAGUUUUCCUUCCUGACUCCUGGUUUGAAUAACACAGAAGUGUAUUUCUAGGUAGUAGCUGUGUUGAGCCAGCCAUGGUAUCUUACCUUCUUGCUAGUCAGUGGGAUACAAAGAUGAUUCAAUAUUGCCCCAAUUUUCAAUAAAUUUGCCAGGUCGGGCACGGUGGCCCUCGCCUGUAAUCCCAGCAUUUUAAGAGGCCAGAGCAAGAGGAUUACUUGAGCCCAGAAGCCCAAGACCACCCUGGGCAGCAUAGUGAGACCUCGUCUCUAGAAAAAAAUUUAAAAACUUAGCUGGGCAUGGCGGUGCCUGCCUGAAGUCCCGGCUACUUGGGAGGCUAAGGUGGGAGGAUUGCUUGAGCCCAGAAGUUAGAGGCUGCAGUGAGCCAUGAUCACACCACUGCACUCCAGCCUGGGUGACACAGUGAGACCAUGUCUCAAAAUAAAUAAAUAAAUAAAUAAAUUUGCCUUGCAAAAUGUUCAAGAUGGCUGGACAGCACCCACAGGGUAAGCUCUUUGACACAGGAACGACACAUACAACUAAAGAUAAAAAUAAUGUGAUACUUGAUUGAGCAUAAUUUUAUGGAGCAGAGGUAGCUAGAAUGAGUGGAGAAAGCAACCAGGGAGAAGAGAGCCGAGUGGGUUAUUCUCUCCAAAUUUUGAAUAAAGUCAUGGGAAAAUCAAAGUAGUAGGAAGGGGUCAAAAUGAAGCGUGCAAAGAUGUAAGAGUAUUAUCACGAGAACCCAAGACAGCAAAAUACGUGUAUGUCUAAAUACACCAGAACAGCAAAGGAGAGCUUACCUUAUUUAAA